rnacentral:lncRNA from 1 species
CGAAGUGCUGGGAUUACAGGUGUGAGCCACCAUGCCUGCCUGUCCCAUUUCCCCAUUUUAAAAAAGUCACCUGCCCGAUUGGUUUUCAAAGCUGCCUUCACUCAAAGAGGGCCUGGAGGGUAGGAAUGACUCAUACAGUCAUUCAUUGUCUGUGCCCGCUUUUCAUAGCACAAAAGAUAGGUCCUUCCCAUCCCGCCCAUCCUCUCCCUGCUGGUCAUCUUGUAUGCGGAGAAUCCAAGGAUCUUCUUACCAAUGAGUUCUUGCCGCUCAUGAGCAGGUGAAGGAGUGGAGCUGAAGUGGAAAUAAUCUAUGGGCUGGACUGUCUAGACAGCAUUUGCUCCUCUGGAUAGGGAGGAGAGCAGACAGAAGCGGGCUUUGGCCAAACUGAAACUCAAGCCAUCACUGCCAGCCCUUCCUGAGCCAUCUCAGAUGAGCCUUGUCUCUGGGCCACAGCCAGAAUUGGCCUGGGCUGUUUCUCACUCCUAUUUCAAAGGAUUUGUGCUCCUAGCAGAGGAAAAGCUUGAACAUUUACAGUGAAAAAUUUAGUAGAAGGGGGAAGAAACAGAGGGUCUUUCUUUCUUUCUUUCUUUCUUUUUUCUUUCUUCUUUUCCUUCUUUUGUCUUAUCUUUUGGUUUUGGGGCAGUGAAAGAAAAUUAAUUUUUUAGCUAUAAAACUUUGUCUUAAGAUCAGUUUUGGAAAGAAAAGCAUCUACUAAUUGAAAACGUCACUUUUCGGGCCCUUAAGUCAAGGGAAACAGGUGCAAGUUUGUGGUUUUAGACACAGCAUUUCUUUUGGAAAAAAGUAGUAAAAGUACCCCAGAUAAGUUCUCUCCAAAGCUGGAUAGAUUUUUAUUUUUCAGCCCUUUAUUACAUAGAAGGUGACAGAUUAGCUGAAAAGUUAAAAGAAAAAUCAACUCUCACCCUUGUAGGUAACACUCCAAUCUCUCUCUCUCUUUUUUCUUUCCAAGGCUGAAGAGAGGGCAACUGUUUACUGCAAUUUUGAUAAAAUUCCCUUUCAAUACGGCCUGUUCCUGGAUAGAGUCCCACCUUUCAUCUGCUUUUAUUCCUAAUCCUGUGGCAAAGCCUGGACCUCCCUUUUCUUCUCAUACAAGCUCGACAGAGCUGGCAUUUUCCUUCUCCAUUUCAGUGACAUGUUUUUCAGUGUUUUGUCUGUUUGUGAAGGGGCAGAAAUGUCAAGGUCAAAAAAGUCUUGGAAAAAAUGAGUAGUAUUUCUGUACCUGCUGAGGGUUAGGUGCUUGGAUGUUAUAUAUCUCUGCAUUCCCACAGUAAAACCAUGUGUGGUUGGGGAGCUUUUCCUUUUUUAACCUCUCUGGGUGGUUGAGGAAUUGGAGGCUCAGAGAGGAGAAGUGACACAGCCCAAGGUGACGCCACCAGGAGCUGAACUUGAAAGCCAAGCCAAGUCCGUCUGACCAUCAAGCGUUGCUCCUAUAAUCAUACUACCUUGCCUUCUGCCUUUGUAAACAUGAGGUGACACAUCAAGCUAGGGCUAUUAAAAUACCCAGAAGCACUUUUCUUCCAAAUAACUCACAAUAUCUUGUCUUUGGGAAGUAUUCAAUAGGUUUAUUUCAGUAAAAGAUACACCAUUGCCAUGGUUUUAGGGAGUGAUUCUGAAUUUUAUGUUACUGAUUAAGAAAGAUGGUUAAUGGAACCUGUUUCCUUAAGAAAUUUACAUCAUAUAUUAGUAAGCUGUUGCUGUGUAGCAAAUCACACCAACACUUAGUGCCUUGAAGUAACAACAUGUAUUAUCUCACAAUUUCUGUAGGUGUGAAAACUGGACAUCAUUUAGCUGGGUCCUGUGCUUCAGGGUAUCUCACAGGCAGCACACAAGGCUUCAUCUGGGCUAUACUCAUCAGAAGGCUGGAUUGGGGAAGAUCUGCUUCCAAGUUUACUUACAUGGUUGUUGGUGGGAUUCAGUUCCUGGUAGGCUGCCAGCUUUAGCUCCUCAUUUCCUGAUGGCUGGAGGGUUCCCUCAGUUCCUUUCCAUGUGGGCCUCUCCAGCAUGGCUGCUUGCUUCAUCAAAGUGUACAAGAAGGGAGACAGCAAUAGGAACAUGUCAGCAAGAUGGAAUCCACAGUCUUUUUAAAGCUAACCAUGGAAGUGAUAUUCCAUCACUUUUGGUGUAUUCUGUUUGUUAGGAACAAGACACUAGGUCCAGCCCACCACUCAAGGUAUGGGAUUACACACGGCAUGAAUACUAUGGGGUGGGGAUCACUGGAAAUUAUGUCAGCAGCUAUCUGUCACACAUGAGAGAAGUGGAGAUGGUAGUCAUAAUAAUAGUCAUCAUCAUCAUAAUAAUAAGGCUGGUGAGGAUAGCCAGCAUUUAUUGGGUGUUCUUGAUGCAUCAGGCACUGGGCUAAAUCCCUUCUAUGCAUUGUCUCCUUUAAUCUCCUCAUCACUCUCAUUAACUUCCCUGAGUUACUACAGCAAAGAGAUUAGGACCAGACUCUGUUGUUUCCACUCCGAAGUCCAUCCCUUUACAUGAUGCAGAUCAUUGAUAAGAAUCCACUGAGCUGCUGAGGCUCCAGGAAAGACCUGAUUGAGAGAGGAGUCUGAUAAACGAAGCUGAACUCACUGCUCCUCAGAAAACUGCAAAUGAACACAACCAGAAGCCAUUUCUUACCCAUCAGAUUGGAAAAGAAAAUAGCAUUGAAAUCAUAUAGCAGCAUCAUCCAGACCUGCAGAAUCAUACGUGAUCAUAGCCAGUUCACACUGAAAAAAGCCUUGUAGGAGAUUCGCCAACCUAAUCAUUCAGCUUACAGGUGCCUGAAACAAAGAAAAGAAAUGCAGAUAAUUGGAUCUUCAUGACAUUUUCCCAACUGGCCACUUUCCCUGUAACAAGACCAAGCCUGUCUCUUCCAUUGUACUCUCGUGAGCUACCUGGGUCAGAACCUGAAAUCUUGGCGCAGAAGUCCUGUGGCCUGCCUAUAAACUUCUCAUUCCCGGCAGCUGGCACAUGCAUGGCCCAAUAAAUAUUUCUUGAUUGAAUGGAAGGAGCUGUGAAUAGUGGCCUCCUCAAGCAAAGGACAUUUUAUCUCCCAAAGGGAAAUCUACUUUGUUGAUAUGAAAGUGAGCUUCUUAAUAGGUCUACGGGGCAACAUUUUGCUAACCCCAUUCAAAUUAUAACAGACUUCAAAGUCAUAAAGGCAGUAAUAUGCUUCCUUUUAAGUGUGUAAUUUGUAUUUUUUUACACCCAGGAAUGGAAAACAGGGAGUGAAAUAUCCCCCAAUUAUUAUUUUGUGCUUUUGAGGCAGGAUGGCCCACUCACCUGUGGGGACUCUGGUGGCCAAGCACCUCCCACCUCAUUCUUGGCAAUUGUUUUCAUCUGCCUCCCUUCACACUGGCCCUAGCUCAGGUCUGGAAUCUUCCCAGGGUCUGACCUCUGAGUGUCUGUCUCAUGCAAUUCUGCUGCCCUGGUAUUGACUCUCAGGACACAGAAGUAUACUCUCUGCCACAUUCAUGACCACCCUGGGUGACGUGUCAAGGCAUCUUAGUGCAGCCCUGAGUCCCUUGGAGGGAAAUGGCCCCAGUCUGCUUCCUGUUUGAGGUAGCUCUGUUCUGGAUCACUUGGUCCUCCCCUCUCCCUCCUGCCACUGCUGAUUGCAUUGUGGUGAUCACCCCAAGGUCAUCCCAAAGGCAGGCUGCCGUGUAGAGCCUGGCUUGGCACAGGAGGCCCCAGCCAAUGAUCUCUGAUGCUGACCUCAUGCUCCAGGUGCCUGAAACAAAGAAAAGAAAUGCAGAUAAUUGGAUCUUCAUGACAAUUUCCCAACUGGCCACUUUCCCUGUAACAAGACCAAGCCUGUCUCUUCCAUAUGGGUCAGCCAUAUCCCACCCACUCCUCCUGGGAUUUGACUUGGGGAAUGUGGACAGAAUCACACAGUCAGUAGAAGUUGGAAAGUAGGCGGAAGUGGCCACAUGGGGUAGGGACAUAUCAGAGUUAUGAUGAAUCAGAAGCAGAAGCCCCAAGUUGAAGAAGAGAUACAAAGCUUGGAAGCAGGAAGAGAUGGAGCGGACACACAAAGGAAUCCAACACUGGAGAACGGCAACGUAAAGGUGGCGUGCUAGGGGAAAGCUCCAGAAUUCCUGCAGCUGGGCGCUGGAGCCACCCUGAACUUUCAAAGACCUCCCUAUUCCAGUCUCCACAAUCCCAGGUCCUGGUAUGUCCCUGGAUUUGGGGGGAGAUUCUGGCUCCUUUGUAGCACCACAAUAAACCCUUAUUGCCUGAGUUAUCCCAAGUGACUCCCUGUUCUUUAUGGGCUCACAAGCCAACACACCAAAAGUAGCCACCAUCAAUGGGUUGGGGGCCCACACCAGCACUGGGGGGGGACAGGGGAGGUUCCAAAUAGCUAGCUCCUCUCAAAGGUUCUAAUACCCGCAGAGGUGGUUUAACUCCUCAAAGGUCUAAGCUCCAUUUUCUUUUCUUUUCUUUUCUUUUUUUUUUGAGGCAGAG